GGAGAUGGAAGAGCUGUUCUCCAGUUUCCUGCACAAACCUCAUGCUUUGCAUUGGAAAGUCCCUGGCCAGAGAGGGUUAAAGAGAACCUCCAAAGCAAGUCAGGUGACACAUUUCCCAGUUACCUUGGCACUGCCCCUAAGGCAGUUUUAUCACACAUGCCUCCUGUAUAAAACAUUGCCUGCAGGAAGCCUCUUAUCUAAGAGGUAGUGAUUGGAAAUGCUCUCUUUGUGUCCUCUGGUGAUGGUUGUGUCUGCUAGGAGCCUCUCCUUCCGGUGAAGAUGUGGCUGCCCUUCUGCAUCCUCCUGGGGCCAGGUUCUGCCAUUCCAUUGCCGGGCAGAUCUGACUCCUCCUCACACACCUUGCACCAUCUCUACCUGGGGGUCUCAGAAUCCAUCCAGGGCCUACCCUGGUUCACUCAGUUGGGAUAUGUGGAUGACCAACUCAUCACUCGUUAUGACAGCAACACAAGGAAGGACCAGCCACAAGUCCCCUGGAUGGAGAAGGCAGAGGAUGCUCGGUUCUGGGAGCGGGAGACCCAUCAUGCUCGAGAUGCCGAGUUCUUCUUCCAGCAGGCCCUGGUGAUCCUGCAGACUCGCUACAAUCAGAGUGGGGGGCUUCAUACCUGGCAGUGCCGGGUUGGCUGUGAGCUGAACAAAGAUGAGAAGCAGACUGGAAGGUACAUGCAGUGCGGCUAUGAUGGGAGGGACUUCAUCAGCCUGGACGAGGAGACCUUCACCUGGAUAGCAGCUGAUGACAAGGCACAAGUGACUAAGAGGAAGUGGGAGGCUGAACAGGCCAUUGGUGUGAAAUGGAAAGGUUACCUAGAGAAAGAAUGUAUUGAAAACCUACAAAAAUACCUGGACUAUGCAAAGGAGACUCUGCUGAGAACAGAGCCCCCAGCAAUGAAGGUAACACGCCAGGUGGGCCCUGAUGGCCUUGAGAUCCUCACCUGCCAUGCCCACGGCUUCUACCCCAAGGAGAUUGAUGCCACCUGGAGGAAGAACAGAGAGGUCUGGGAGCAGGAGACCUUCCGUGGAGGAGUCACUCCCAACUCAGAUGGAACCUUCCACACCUGGCUCAACAGUGAGAUUGACCCCAAGGAGAGGGAUCUUUAUCGGUGCCAUGUGGAACACGAUGGCCUGCAGAAGCCUCUCGACUUGGCCUGGGAGGACCCUGGCUCAGUGCCCAUGGGCAACAUUAUGGGUGCUGUAUUUGGGGCUGCGGCUGCGGCUGCUGGUCUGCUGGUGACUGGGAUUGUCUUUUACAUCAUAAGUCUCUGGAAGUCUUGCAUUACUGUUGAGGCGAAAAGUCAGCAAGAUGUUUCCAGAGCAGUCCAAGAACCAGCAGCAUUGCCAAGAGAAAGGAGCCCUUUCAUCCCCUCACAUGUACACACUGAUGAUCUACCCAGCAUCUAUGAGGAGCCUCAUCCCUCUCUGCAUAGGAGAGGGUUUCAUACCUUGCAGCGUAUUUCCGGCUGUGAACUUGAUGAACAUGGGCACAGGAGAGGAUUUUCACAGCAUGCCUAUGAUGGAAGGGAGCUCGUCACCUGGAUAACAACAGAUGCAGCAGCUCAAGUGUCCAAGAGGAACCGGGAGGCUGAGCCAGCUGUUAGCUUGUAUUGCAAACGCUUCCUGGAGGAGGGAUGCAUUGAGCGGCUUCAGACAUUUUUGGCGUUUGGGAAGGAGACUUUGUUGAGGCGAGAGCCCCCAGUAGUGAAGGUGAGACACAAGGCGGGCUAUGAUGUUUUGGAUACCCUCAUCUGCCGGGUCUAUGGCUUCUACCCCAAGGAGAUUGCUGCCACCUGGAGGAAGGACGGAGAGGUCUGGGAGCAGGAGACCUUCCGUGGGGGAGUCACUCCCAACUCAGAUGGAACCUACCACACCUGGCUCAGCAUUGAGAUUGACCCCAAGGAAAGGAGCCUCUAUCAGUGCCACAUGGAACAUGACAGUCUUCUGGAGCCUCUACGCUUGACCUGGGAGGAUCCUGUUUCCAUGCCUAAUUGGCUGAUUGUAAGAGCCAUUGUGGUGGGGGCCCUGCUGGUUGCCAUCCUGCUAGGGGCUGUGAGCAUCUUCUACAUCAGGAAACAGAAAAGAGAUGGCUACAAAGCAGCAUCAAUGACUUCUUACUGCCCCUAGUUGAAGUUUAACAGAAAAGGAAGGACAUGAUGUAGUUUUGAAGACAGGCAGCCCAGGAUCCAGCUCCACCAACAUUGUCGUUAGGGCAUGAUUUUACCCUGGUGGUGUCUGCAAAGAGAAUGCGGAAUCGUCCAUCAUCCGCAAGAACAGUGUUCCCUCUAAUUUUUUUAAUCAGUGAGCAGAAUGAGUUUUGUAUUGGGAAGCAUUAUUGUAGAGGAAUAGUUGUCUAUCCCACCGCUUUGUCACCACUUGUGGAGGAUCCACCCUACUGAUAACACAAGACAUGGCUCUCCCCAAAACAUACAAGUUCUUCCGUUUGUUGGUCCUAGACCUCCUGGCAAUCAAUUUCAUGGACUGACCCCUGAUUCUAGUGUUAUGUGAGAGGGAAAAGAAUUUCUCUCUCUCCAAAUUCUCCAAACCAUGCAUGAUUUUGUAGACCUCUAUCAGGUCUCCCCACAAACAAUCAUAUCAAAGCACACUGGAUCAAGGGAGAAGUAAAGCAGAAAGAUUUAAACCUAGCAGCAAGCAUAUACAAACACCAUGAGUCUAAAAACAAGACAACAAUAAAACAAAGAUUUUUAAAACUAAAAACAAUGUAUGCAAUAUGAAUCAGAGAAAUCCAGAGGUCUAGAAAGUCAUAUAGUCCAACCCACUGAACAAUAUAGACAUGUCUAAGAGAAGCCAUUCUGCUUUUGAAAGGCUGCAUGACCAUGCAUUCUUCUUCAGUUGUUCAUAAUAAUGUUCUUAGAUUUUAUGUAGCAGUUUUCGAAAAUAACCUUACAAAUCCUCUUAACAACCUUGCAAAGAAAGACAGAAAAUCCCCAUGCAGAACAGCUGCUUUUUGCUUUCCCAAUGAGAGGAAGUUAAAGGAAAUAUCCAAAGGAAAUACAGGUGAAACUCGGAAAAUUAGAAUAUCGUGCAAAAGUCCAUUAAUUUCAGUAAUGCAAAUUAAAAGGUGAAACUGAUAUGAGACAGACGCAUUACAUGCAAAGCGAGAUAAGUCAAGCCUUAAUUUGUUAUAAUUGUGAUGAUCAUGGCGUACAGCUCAUGAAAACCCCAAAUCCACAAUCCCAGAAAAUUAAAAUAUUACAUGGAACCAAGAAGACAAGGAUUGUAGAAUAGAAGAAUAUCGGACCUCUGAAAAGUAUAAGCAUGCAUAUGUAUUCAGUACUUGGUUUGGGUCCCUUUUGCAGCAAUUACUGCCUCAAUGCGGCGUGGCAUGGAUGCUAUCAGCCUGUGGCACUGAUGAGGUGUUAUGGAAGACCAGGAUGCUUCAUUAGCGGCCUUCAGCUCUUCUGCAUUGUUUGGUCUCAUGUCUCUCAUCCUUCUCUUGGCAAUGCCCCAUAGAUUCUCUAUGGCAGGCUUCCUCAAACUGCGGCCCUCCAGAUGUUGCUGAACUACAACUCCCAGCAUACCCAGCCACAUAAAAUUGUGUCUAGGGAUGCUGGGAGUUGUAGUUCAGCAACAUCUGGAGGGCCGCAGUUUGGGGAAGCCUGCUCUAUGGGGUCAGGUCAGGCGAGUUUGCUGGCCAAUCAAGCACAGUACACUGUAUACUAUACCAAAAAGGUGCCUCUUUGCCCAGUUAGCAGGGGCAUGAGGGCUCUUACAUGAAGAACCUAUUUUACCAAACCUCUGUAUCAUACUAUUUGUAUUAGAUUUUGUUAGACAAUAAAAGAAAAGACACCACA